rnacentral:rRNA from 1 species
CCUACGGGUGGCUGCAGUGAGGAAUCUUGGUCAAUGGACGCAAGUCUGAACCAGCCAUGCCGCGUGCAGGAUGACGGCCCUAUGAGUUGUAAACUGCUUUUGUACGGGGGUAAACCCCGAUACGUGUAUCGGGUUGAAAGUAUCGUACGAAUAAGGAUCGGCCAACUCCGUGCCAGCAGCCGCGGUAAUACGGAGGAUGCGCGCGUUAUCCGGAUUUAUUGGGUUUAAAGGGUGCGUAGGCGGUGUGAUAAGUUAGAGGGGAAAUGUCAGGGCUCAACCCCGGAACUGCCUUUAAGACUGGUGGACUAGAGAAUAGUAGAGGUAGGCGGAAUGUAUGGUGUAGCGGUGAAAUGCUUAGAGAUCAUACAGAACACCGAUUGCGAAGGCAGCUUACCAAACUAUAACUGACGUUGAGGCACGAAAGCGUGGGUAGCAAACAGGAUUAGAUACCCCUGUAGUC